CAGUUUCACAAGCGCAGCUUUAACGUAAUCAAACACAAACUCUCAUUUUGUCAUCUUCCGUAUUCAGCUCGGGCUAAAUGUUGCCUCUCCUCCACCUCCGACGGUGAGCCCGAGCAGGAGCAAAAGCCGUAAUCCGGCGACCGGCGGCAAGGUAGUGUCUCAUCUCUUUCUUCUCUCUUACACACGUACCUCACUUGCACCUAUCCAUCUUCCUUUUGCUUAUAAUUUCCUGAUUCCUCUGCAAUUGUUUUGUUAAUCGCAAUUCAAUUGCAUAAACCUAAUUUUGCAAUUGCAGUUUUUCUGAUUUCCUUCAACAAAACAAUAUGGGUUUUCUUAUUGCUCAAUUUUAUGAUCUGGGUACCUUUUACUUUUGAGAAAACCUGUCUUAUUUUUUUUUUUAUGUGGCUCAAUAAUGUUUCAAAGGCUUAUUUGAGGAAUUUGAGGGAUUUUUUCUGUGAAAUUAUUGUCAUCUCCCUGCUCCUUCUCGUACCGGCGAGCUCUCAUCUCCCUCCUCCUUCUCCACCGGCGAGUUCUCAUCUCUUGGAGUCAAUGGAGGUUUUUCCAAGCAACUGGACAUUGUUCUUGAGAUUUAAAUUUCCACCGAAUUCUGGGAAAAGAAUUUGGAAACCAGGGAUUUCCUUGAAGCAACCAAGGAGUGUGUCAGCAUUUGCCAUUCGAAAGGAGUUCCUAUCUUGAAAAAUAACAGAGUUGAUGUAGCUCUGGCUUAUGAUGCGGAUGGCGUGCAUGUUGGCCAGUCUGACAUGCCAGUAUCUCUUGUGAUCGACUUGCAUAUUUCGUUGGUGCAAAUUUCACGCCUCAUGUGAUCACUGUAAAUGCAGGGGAGUGGAUACAUGGCACCUGAAUACGUAACAGCGGGACAUAUUUCAGUGAAGUCUGAUAUUUUCAGCUACGGUGUCAUGCUUUUAUAGAUUGUGAGUGGUUUGAGGAAUAGUUACUCAGAUCCAGAUAUCAGUCAGGACGAGAAUCUUCUACAUUAUCAAUCAGGUUUUGACGUCUUCGCGAGCAGAUAGUAGCCGAAACAAUCCCAUUGGCUACUGCACAGCUGCACUGUCUACCCUCAAUUCUUAUUGGUCAGUUUCCUUAACAGUUUAGGACCUUACAGAAAAAAGAAGGCCAUGGUAAGACUGUAAAUACAAGCCAAUUUUUGUAAUUCAUUUCCUAUAACUAGUUAUUCUUGCUGCUACACCAGGAUUAAAUAAAAUCAGCAGCUCAAUUUUUUUAGAAUAUCCAAAGUCAUUUGCGUCGCACAUUACCUUAAUCUUAUGACUAAUCAUAUGACUAAUCAUAUAAAUCAUGAUUAGGCGUGCAUAACGAACUUGAAAUGAGUCUUAUAAUCAUAUGAUUAAUCAUAUAAAUCAUGAAAACGUUUAGAAUAUGGAAAUAGGUUCGUUUGUUGGUAAUUGGGAUCGAAAAUGCCAUUUAUGGCCAUAAAUGACCUAUAUCGACUCAAAUGACCCUUUGGCGUGCAUAACGAACUUGAAAUGAGUCUUAUAAUUAUAUAACUAAUCAUAUAAAUCAUGAAAAAGGUUUAGAAUGUGGAUAUAAGUUCGUUUGUUGGUAGUUGGGAUCGAAAAUGCCCUUUUUGGCCAUAAAUGACCUAUAUCGACCCAAAUGACCCUUAAGCGUGCAUAGAGAACUUGAAAUGAGUCUUAUAAUCAUAUGAUUAAUCAUAUAAAUAAUGAAAAACGUUUAGAAUAUGGAAAUAGGUUCGUUUGUUGGUAGUUGGGUUCGAAAAUGCCAUUUUUGGCCGUAAAUGAACUAUAUCGACCCAAAUGACCCAUAGGCGUGCAUAACGAACUUAAAAUGAGUCUUAUAAACAUAUAACUAAUCAUAUGAAUCAUGAAAAAUGUUUAGAAUAUGGAAAUAGGUUCUUUUGUUGGUAGUUGGGAUUGAAAAUGUCAUUUUUGGCCAUAAAUGACAUAUAUCGACCCAAAUGACUUUUAGGCGUGCAUAACGAACUUGAAAUGAGUCUUAUAAACAUAUAACUAAUCAUAUGAAUCAUGAAAAAUGGUUAGAAUGUGGGAAGAGGUUCGUUUGUUGGUAGUUGGGAUCGAAAAUUUCAUUUUUGGCCAUAAAUGACCUAUAACGACCCAAAAGACCCAUAGGCGUGCACACCGAACUUAAAAUGAGUCUUAUAAACAUAUAACUAAUCAUAUGAAUCAUUAAAAAAGGUUUCCAAUUUGAAUAUAAGUUCGUUUGUUGGUAGUUGGGAUCAAAAAUGACAUUUUUGGCCAUAAAUGACCUAUAUUGACCCAAAUGACCCAUAGGCGUGCAUAAAGAACAUGAAAUGAGUCUUAUAAUCAUAUAACUAAUCAUAUGAAUCAUGAAAAAGGGUUAGAAUGUGAAAAUAGGUUUGUUUGUUGGUAGUUGGUUUCGAAAAUGACACUUUUGGCCAUAAAUGACCUAUAUCGACCCAAAUGACCCUUAGGCUUGCAUAACGAACUUGAAAUGAGUUUCAUAAACAUAUAACUAAUCAUAUGAAUCAUGAAAAAGGGUUAGAAUGUGGAAAUAGUUCGUUUGUUGGUAGUUGGGAUCGAAAAUUCCAUUUUUGGCCAUAAAUGACCUAUAUCGACCUAAAUGAACCAUAAGCGUGCAUAACGAACUUGAAAUGAGUCUUAUAAACAUAUAAC